GUAGGUGGCAAGCGUUGUCCGGAAUUAUUGGGCGUAAAGCGCGCGCAGGCGGUUCUUUAAGUCUGAUGUGAAAGCCCACGGCUCAACCGUGGAGGGUCAUUGGAAACUGGAGAACUUGAGUACAGAAGAGGAAAGCGGAAUUCCACGUGUAGCGGUGAAAUGCGUAGAGAUGUGGAGGAACACCAGUGGCGAAGGCGGCUUUCUGGUCUGUAACUGACGCUGAGGCGCGAAAGCGUGGGGAGCAAACAGGGAUUAGAUACCCUGGUAGUCCACGCCGUAAACGAUGAGUGCUAAGUGUUAGGGGGGUUUCCCGCCCCUUAGUGCUGCAGCUAACGCAUUAAGCACUCCGCCUGGGGAGUACGGCCGCAAGGCUG
rnacentral:rRNA from 1 species